UUGAACGCUGGCGGAAUGCUUUACACAUGCAAGUCGAGCGGCAGCGCGGGGCAACCUGGCGGCGAGCGGCGAACGGGUGAGUAAUAUAUCGGAACGUACCCUGUCGUGGGGGAUAACACAUCGAAAGAUGUGCUAAUACCGCAUACGCCCUGAGGGGGAAAGCGGGGGACCUUCGGGCCUCGCGCGAUUGGAGCGGCUGAUGUCGGAUUAGCUAGUUGGUGGGGUAAAGGCCUACCAAGGCGACGAUCCGUAGCUGGUCUGAGAGGACGACCAGCCACACUGGAACUGAGACACGGUCCAGACUCCUACGGGAGGCAGCAGUGGGGAAUUUUGGACAAUGGGGGCAACCCUGAUCCAGCCAUUCCGCGUGAGUGAAGAAGGCCUUCGGGUUGUAAAGCUCUUUCAGCAGGAACGAAACGGUGGCCAUUAAUACUGGCUACUAAUGACGGUACCUGAAGAAGAAGCACCGGCUAACUACGU
rnacentral:rRNA from 1 species